GGGGCUGCGGUUCAGUGGCAGAGCAUCUGUUUUGCAGGCAGAAGAUUCUAGGUUCAACCCCCAGCAUCUUUA
rnacentral:tRNA from 1 species